rnacentral:rRNA from 1 species
GGGGUUCCCAGAGUUUGUGGGCUUUGCCACUGUCUCUUACCCAUGUCUUUUGAGUACUUACGUUUCCUCGGUGGGCUCGCCCGCCGGUUGGACAAUUUAAACCAUUUGCAGUUGCAAUCAGCGUCUGAAAAACAUAAUAGUUACAACUUUCAACAACGGAUCUCUUGGUUCUGGCAUCGAUGAAGAACGCAGCGAAAUGCGAUAAGUAGUGUGAAUUGCAGAAUUCAGUGAAUCAUCGAAUCUUUGAACGCACAUUGCGCCCCUUGGUAUUCCAUGGGGCAUGCCUGUUCGAGCGUCAUUUGUACCUUCAAGCUCUGCUUGGUGUUGGGUGUUUGUCUCGCCUUGCGCGUAGACUCGCCUUAAAACAAUUGGCAGCCGGCGUAUUGAUUUCGGAGCGCAGUACAUCUCGCGCUUUGCACUCAUAACGACGACGUCCAAAAGUACUUUUUACACUCUUGACCUCGGAUCAGGUAGGGAUACCCGCUGAACUUAAGCAUAUCAAUAAGCGGAGGAAA